rnacentral:misc_RNA from 1 species
ACAGAGACGUCGCCCCGGGGAGGCAACUCCCCUGGGGCACAACUCUCCACCCCUUGAUUUGUUAUACCUAGUUGCUUUGGUGGGUCGCGGUCAUUCGUGGCCCCGCCGGCUCUGGCUGGCGAGCACCCGCCGAAGGUCAAACCCAAACUCUUGAAGUAAAUCUUGAAGUCUGAAAUUAAAUAAAAAAUAGCCUA